GAUGAACGCUGGCGGCGUGCCUAAUACAUGCCAGUCGAGCGAACGGACGAGAAGCUUGCUUCUCUGAUGUUAGCGGCGGACGGGUGAGUAACACGUGGAUAACCUACCUAUAAGACUGGGAUAACUUCGGGAAACCGGAGCUAAUACCGGAUAAUAUUUUGAACCGCAUGGUUCAAAAGUGAAAGACGGUCUUGCUGUCACUUAUAGAUGGAUCCGCGCUGCAUUAGCUAGUUGGUAAGGUAACGGCUUACCAAGGCAACGAUGCAUAGCCGACCUGAGAGGGUGAUCGGCCACACUGGAACUGAGACACGGUCCAGACUCCUACGGGAGGCAGCAGUAGGGAAUCUUCCGCAAUGGGCGAAAGCCUGACGGAGCAACGCCGCGUGAGUGAUGAAGGUCUUCGGAUCGUAAAACUCUGUUAUUAGGGAAGAACAUAUGUGUAAGUAACUGUGCACAUCUUGACGGUACCUAAUCAGAAAGCUACGGCUAACUACGUG
rnacentral:rRNA from 1 species